CGAAUGUUUAAUCAAAUAUGUACGAACCUACAUUACCGCUGCGGUGCGGAGGUCUUCAUGCGCCCCGGUCAAAUGGACAUGGGGGCUUUCAUCACAUGCCUUCCUACCAGCACUGGGAGAUCUGAAACACUGACGGGACGACUAAGCAGGGAUGA